rnacentral:tRNA from 1 species
UGUAGUUCAGUGGUAGAGCACUUGCUUAGCAUGCAGGAGGCCUGGUUUUAACCCCCAGCA